rnacentral:rRNA from 1 species
UACGGAGGAUGCGAGCGUUAUCCGGAUUUAUUGGGUUUAAAGGGUGCGUAGGCGGGCUUUUAAGUCAGCGGUAAAAAUUCGGGGCUCAACCCCGUCCGGCCGUUGAAACUGGGGGCCUUGAGUGGGCGAGGAGAAGGCGGAAUGCGUGGUGUAGCGGUGAAAUGCAUAGAUAUCACGCAGAACCCCGAUUGCGAAGGCAGCCUUCCGGCGCCCUACUGACGCUGAGGCACGAAAGUGCGGGGAUCGAACAGG